GAGUUGAUCGUAGCCUCCAGAUUGAACGCCUGGCGGCAUGCCUUACACAUGCAAGUCGAACGGCAGCACGGGAGCUUGGCUCCGUGGUGGCGAGUGGCGAACGGGUGAGUAAUGCAUCGGAACGUAUCCUGGAGUGGGGGAUAACGUAGCGAAAGUUACGCUAAUACCGCAUAUUCUGUGAGCAGGAAAGCGGGGGACCUUCGGGCCUCGCGCUCUUGGAGCGGCCGAUGUCGGAUUAGCUAGUUGGUGAGGUAAAGGCUCACCAAGGCGACGAUCCGUAGCAGGUCUGAGAGGAUGAUCUGCCACACUGGAACUGAGACACGGUCCAGACUCCUACGGGAGGCAGCAGUGGGGAAUUUUGGACAAUGGGGGCAACCCUGAUCCAGCCAUGCCGCGUGAGUGAAGAAGGCCUGGUUGUAA
rnacentral:rRNA from 1 species